rnacentral:tRNA from 1 species
UGCAUCGGCCGGGAAUCGAACCCGGAGCGCCCGUGUGGCAGGCGAGCAUUCCACCACUGAACCAAAAGC